AAAAACUCAAAUUUGAAAUCAAACUAUAACAAAAAUAAUUCAAAUGUAAAUCUUGUGCAUGACCCAAAUCACAUUAGUUCAAAAAAACAAAAAAAAGAAGAUAAAACUCGACCACUUGGGUAAAGAAUGAGAGCUUGUUAUACAAGAAAGGGCAUUUUAGAAAUUCCAAUCUCAUUCUAUCAAACAAAAGAAUAACCAUUCUCACACACUACAUUUCCUUCAAGUUGUUGUAGUAGUAGUUGUACCUCCA
rnacentral:lncRNA from 1 species